UUAUGAAACUCAACAGUUCAGUACACAUUUGAUCAAAAAAUUGCAUCACCAUUUACAGAAGGAAGUUGUGAACCUGACAAAAAAUAAAAACUACUAGAAUGUGCUUCAAGGGUUUAACGGUAGGAGCCUCCGACAUACUCCCAGAAGGACCAUUGGCAGGAGAUCCACCAGGAAGUGUGAAAGUACCAGGCACUGAAGAUUUUGGUGUCGUCAG
rnacentral:lncRNA from 1 species